rnacentral:rRNA from 1 species
AGUGAACGCUGGCGGUAGGCCUAACACAUGCAAGUCGAACGGCAGCACAGGAGAGCUUGCUCUCUGGGUGGCGAGUGGCGGACGGGUGAGGAAUACAUCGGAAUCUACUCUGUCGUGGGGGAUAACGUAGGGAAACUUACGCUAAUACCGCAUACGACCUACGGGUGAAAGCAGGGGAUCUUCGGACCUUGCGCGAUGAAUGAACCGGAUGUCGGAUUAGCUAGUUGGCGGGGUAAAGGCCCACCAAGGCGACGAUCCGUAGCUGGUCUGAGAGGAUGAUCAGCCACACUGGAACUGAGACACGGUCCAGACUCCUACGGGAGGCAGCAGUGGGGAAUAUUGGACAAUGGGCGCAAGCCUGAUCCAGCCAUACCGCGUGGGUGAAGAAGGCCUUCGGGUUGUAAAGCCCUUUUGUUGGGAAAGAAAUCCAGCCGGCUAAUACCUGGUUGGGAUGACGGUACCCAAAGAAUAAGCACCGGCUAACUUCGUGCCAGCCGCCGCCGUAAAAC